CCAAAUAUCUAAACGGAGAAAUUCAAUAUUACCUGUUAAAACCGUAAUGUGCACUUUUCUCUUAGUAAGACGCCGUGAUUCAUUAGAAAUUGAUGUACGCCAAGUGCAUAGUGGGUCAUCAAUAGGCCAGUAUGAAGUUUAUUGGAACAAAUGGCAUGAUCUUAAACGGUUGUGUGUAUUGUCUGGUAAGCAUGCUGUGUCCUGCAAUGACUGUCUGAUGAGUUUUAAAGAUCUGCCAUUAACAAUGUCUUGUGCAUUGGCGCUUGUCGCAUAUAAUGGAUGUAUCUGAUCGACGGCGGUUAAAUUUGGGAUACCUUUUGGACCCGUCUUGAAACACGGACCAAGGAGUCUAUCUAGUAUGCGAGUAAAUGGAUAAUUUAUGAAAUCUAUUUGCGUAAUAAACUUGACUGUUUUUCAUGGGAUUACGAUUUGUUGAUUUUUACGAGUCACAUUUCUUCCUUCCCGGGGUAUUUUCAUCCACAUAUAUGCAAAUAUAUGGAAAAUAUACCAUGAGCACACUGGAUACGACCCGAAAGAUGGUGAACUAUGCCUGAUCAGGUCGAAGUCAGGGGAAACCCUGAUGGAGGACCGAAGCAGUUCUGACGUGCAAAUCGAUUGUCAGAAUUGGGCAUAGGGGCGAAAGACCAAUCGAACCAUC
rnacentral:rRNA from 1 species